rnacentral:sRNA from 1 species
GGCUGGUCCAAGUGUAAUGGUGUUUACAACUAAUUGAUCAUAACCAGUUACAGAUUUUAUUGUUCCUUCUCUUGACUAAUCUUAA